GAGACAUCUUGUGACUCUCAAUUUCUUAAAGCCUAUAUGAGACUGAGAUGGCCAGAGUUCCACUCUCAUGCUUCAUUUGGCUUUCAUUGGUAUCCAUGGCAGAUGCUGAAUGUGCUUUCUUUCUACUGGUGUGAUCCUUCUCUAACCUUUUUUGCUUGGAAUAUUUGGAUCUCUUGUGGUGUUCCUCUCGAUUCCCCUAGUGAAGGAUUUGCUUUCCUCUCUGCCUUUUGGUGCUCUGUUUUGGCCUAUACAAGCUGAUGAGGCAAAGAUACAUGUGAUCCUUUACUCCAAGCUGUUCCUCGGGAUGCUAUAGUUGGGGUGCUUUUUAUCAAGCAUAAGGCCGAGUUAAUUCCUAUUGGAGCUUCAGUACGACUUGUCUUUUCCCCCAGUGAUUAUGGCAAUUGGCGGCAGUUUCCCCAAGCGUUUGGUGGAGCUGCUUCUUUUCUUCCAAGUAGGUGUUCGGCUUUAGUGAAGCUAGGGCUCCUAUUAAUGGGCUGGGCCUUUU
rnacentral:misc_RNA from 1 species